rnacentral:tRNA from 5 species
GGCGCAGUAGUUCAGCCUGGUUAGAAUGCCAGCCUGUCACGCUGGAGGUCGAGGGUUCGAGCCCCUUCUGCGUCGCCA